rnacentral:rRNA from 1 species
GACGUAGGGCGCGAGCGUUGUCCGGAUUUAUUGGGCGUAAAGAGCUCGUAGGCGGCUUGUCGCGUCGUCCGUGAAAACUUGGGGCUCAACUCCAAGCUUGCGGUCGAUACGGGCAGGCUAGAGUUCGGUAGGGGAGACUGAAAUUCCUGGUGUAGCGGUGAAAUGCGCAGAUAUCAGGAGGAACACCGGUGGCGAAGGCGGGUCUCUGGGCCGAUACUGACGCUGAGGCGCGAAAGCGUGGGGAGCGAACAGG